AGAACACAAGCAAUUGCAGAACAAUAACAAGAAUCAUGUCUAGUUCCGAUCCCGACAAGCUAAUGAUCAAAGCCGAUAAAUUAACAAAACUCAGUAUGACAAGAUGGAGUGCUGAUUGGAAAAGUGCUACUGUCCUCUAUGAGCAGGCCGCGAAUGCGUAUAGGGUCCGAAAUAACCAUGAGAAAGCAAAGAUUGCGUUUGAAAAAGCUUCAAAAGGGCAAGAGAUGCU
rnacentral:misc_RNA from 1 species